rnacentral:tRNA from 1 species
GCCUUCGUGGUGUAGUGGUCAGCACCCUCGACGCAUUACCGAUAGGUCCUUGGUUCGAUUCCCGGCGAGGGCA